rnacentral:rRNA from 1 species
UACGAAGGGGGGCUAGCGUUGCUCGGAAUCACUGGGCGUAAAGCGCACGUAGGCGGCUUCUUAAGUCAGGGGUGAAAUCCUGGAGCUCAACUCCAGAACUGCCUUUGAUACUGAGAAGCUUGAGUCCGGGAGAGGUGAGUGGAACUGCGAGUGUAGAGGUGAAAUUCGUAGAUAUUCGCAAGAACACCAGUGGCGAAGGCGGCUCACUGGCCCGGUACUGACGCUGAGGCGCGAAAGCGUGGGGAGCAAACGGG